ensembl:lncRNA
UUCUUAGUUCUACUGCUUACCUAUUUCCAACUUUUUUCUGCUCCAAUCUUUCUUUCCUUCAUCUUUCUGUUUAUUUUGUGGUUCUUUCACUGACAUUUUUAGCCUGGUGCUCUCUUUCUUUAUUUUUAUCUGCCCUGUUUUAUUUGCCACAUGUAUUGGAGGCUAUAAAUAGUUUUCUGAUUAUUUCUGCAGCUGUAGCCAAUAGUAGAUUCGUGGUAUUUUGAUUUAUGGUUGUUUUCUAGAAAUCCUACAAAUUCAGUUUGUAUUUUCCCUGUGACUUGAGAGUUGUCUAAGAGACAGGGUUUUUUUUGUUGUUGUUGCUUUGUUUUUGUUUUUGUUUUUUUUGUCUUUUUGCCAUUUCUUGGGUUUUCUUUUCUUUUCCCUUUUUGGCUGCCCUGCAGCAUAUGGAAGUUCCCAGACCAGGGAUCAAAUCUGAGCUGGAGCUCUGUGGCGUAGGUCAUGGCUCCAUCAAAUUCAAUCUGAACUUCCAUAUGCCAUGGGUGUGGCCCCAAAAAAUAAUAAUCUAUUUAUCCUAAUUACUUCCUGCAAAUUGCCACAGUGUUUUUGGUGCGUUGUGAAUUAUGCCAUUUUGCAUUACAAAUAGCCCUUCUUUGGCCCAUUAACUGCGGCUCUGAUUGGACCCCUAGCCUGGGAACUUCCAUAUGUCGUGGGUGUGGCCCUAAAAAGGAGGAAAAAAAAAAAAGAUUUUAAAAUCUGACUAGGCGUUUCCGCUGUAGUGCAGCGGGUUAGAGAUCGAGUGUUGUCUCUGUGGUGGCCCAGGUUAGAUCCCUGGCCCCAUGCAGGGGGUUAAGGAUCUGACAUUGCCGCAGCCUCGGUGUACGUUGAAGCUGCAGCUCAGAUUCGAUCCCUGGCCUGGGAACUCCCACCUGCCGUGGGUGCAGCCAAGAAAAGAGAAUGGUGACUUCUGCGACCUGAGCCUCUGUCUGCUCUUCCCCGCCUCCCUGCCGUACCUGCUGGCCCCUGGUGCUUAGUGCCACACUCACAUGAGGCUUGGAGUUGGUGGGGUUUUCCUGUUCCUGGUUUCCCUAAGGCUGUAGUUUUUUGUAGUUUAUUUUUCCUUUCCCCGAUUGCUCUGACAUCAGAAGAGGGAAGAUUCAGAACUAAGGAGCUGCCUUAUUCCUAUUGGAAAAAGAGGUCUCCUCUUUUCUCAUUUUUCUGUUUGUAUUUUCCCCGGAAGAGUAAGGCCCUGCCUGCUUGAUCUCUGGCUUUGGAAAACUUUACAAGCUUUGAAGGAGGAACAUUUUGUAACUGCUACUCUGAAAACAAUAUUGUGUAUCUGGAGUCCCCAUCCUGGCUCAAUAGUAACAAACCCGAGUAGGAUCCAUGAGGAUGCAGGUUCGAUCCCUGGCCUUGCUCAGUGGGUUAAGGAUCCAGUGUUGCCGUGAACUGUGGUGUAGGUCAAAGACGCAGCUUGGACCCUGAGUUGCUCUGGCUGUGGUGUAGGCCAGCGGCUACAGCUCCAAUUCAACCCCUAGCCUGGGAACCUCCAUAUGCUGCGGAAGCGGCCCUAGAAAAGGCGAAAAUAACAACAACAACAACAAUAAUAAUAGUAUCUGUCCUACAGAAUUAUAGUGAGGAUCAAAUGAGUUAAUGCAUUUAAGGUGUUUAGAUAAUGGCUGGCAUACAAUAUGUGCUCAAUAAAUACUGCUGAUUACCC